rnacentral:rRNA from 1 species
GUGAGGUAAUGGCUCACCAAGGCGUCGACGGGUAGCCGGCCUGAGAGGGUGACCGGCCACACUGGGACUGAGACACGGCCCAGACUCCUACGGGAGGCAGCAGUGGGGAAUAUUGCACAAUGGGCGGAAGCCUGAUGCAGCAACGCCGCGUGAGGGACGACGGCCUUCGGGUUGUAAACCUCUUUUAGCAAGGAAGAAGCGAAAGUGACGGUACUUGCAGAAAAAGCGCCGGCUAACUACGUGCCAGCAGCCGCGGUAAUACGUAGGGCGCAAGCGUUAUCCGGAAUUAUUGGGCGUAAAGAGCUCGUAGGCGGUUUGUCGCGUCUGCUGUGAAAACCCGAGGCUCAACCUCGGGCCUGCAGUGGGUACGGGCAGACUAGAGUGCGGUAGGGGAGAUUGGAAUUCCUGGUGUAGCGGUGGAAUGCGCAGAUAUCAGGAGGAACACCGAUGGCGAAGGCAGAUCUCUGGGCCGUAACUGACGCUGAGGAGCGAAAGGGUGGGGAGCAAACAGGCUUAGAUACCCUGGUAGUCCACCCCGUAAACGUUGGGAACUAGUUGUGGGGUCCAUUCCACGGAUUCCGUGACGCAGCUAACGCAUUAAGUU